AUGCAAGAUCAGGUCGGCCUGGACCUGCACGACUUCCCGCUCGACCACGAGUUUCUGAAGGACUACAACCUCGAGGAAGAGGAUGAGUUGGACAAAGACGGGGAGUCUUUGUUUGAGGACGAGCUCGCCAAGCAAGCCGGCUGGGUGAAGCCAAAGCGCAAGAGCAUGCGGACGAAUGCAUACACGGCGGCCAAGGACAAGCUCCUUUGUUAGUGUUAGAGGGACAUUGUGCAAGACCCCAAGACCGUCCAACAGAAGGCAUCAACCCUUUGGACUCGUGUCCAUCGCGAGUUCCAUGAACGCAAGAAGUUUUCGCCGUACCAAAUGCAAAUCAUGCGCGGGUGGUUGUCCAUUUCGAAGCGAUCGAAGGUGAUCCAACAAGAAUGCGACAAGUUUUCUGCCACUCUUGAGAGCAUCAAGGCACGCCCCGUGAGCGGCAUCAGCAUGCAAUACACGGUAUGCGUGCAAGCGCCCCUCUUUGUGUCAUUCUGUUUAUGCUUGCAUGUCCAUUUCCAUAUCCAUUUGCCAAUAUGCUUGCAUGCAAUUCAUUUGUAG
rnacentral:rRNA from 1 species